GUACCGUCAUUAUCUUCCCUAGCGAAAGAGCUUUACAACCCUAGGGCCUUCUUCACUCACGCGGCAUGGCUGGAUCAGGCUUUCGCCCAUUGUCCAAUAUUCCCCA
rnacentral:rRNA from 1 species